UUCUUUCAUUUCUCCAAAUCCCCUCUUCAACCAUGAACUAUGGACCAUCAUAUCUACCUUCUUCUUCUUCUUCUUCUUCUGAUGACGAAACCUUUUCUCAUUAUGUUGAACAAUGGGAGGAGGAUAUGAAACAAUGGGAGGAGGAAGAUGAAAUCUUAGCUCGUUUAUAUGUCGCUAACAAUAAAAUAAUGGCUUAUUUCUCUAAAGAGAAAGAGAGGUCAAAGCUUAUCAGCUCAAUUCCUGGUCAUUUGGUAAUCAACCAUGAGAGGGAAGAUGGUAAUUCUGGACUCUACAAUGAGUAUUUUUCUGAUAAUCCCACGUACGGAGUCGAAACCCCUCCACUUUCAUCUCUUAAUCGAAAACCCAUAAAAAUGAAGAAAUCGAAGAGAGACAUCGAUGAAGUCGAGACCCCUCCAAUUUCAGCUCUUAAUCCAAACCCCAUAAAAAAGAAGAAAUCAAAGAGAGACAUCGAUGAAGUCGAGACCCCUCCAAUUUCACCUCUUAAUCCAAAACCCAUAAAAAACGAAGAUGAAGACGUCAGCCCUCUGAUCUCUAAUUCAAAGAGUAAGAAGAAGAAACACGAAAAGAAUUGUAUCGAGCAAUCAAAGGACAAGUCCCCAGAGGCCUGCUCCCUUUUGUACUUCGAUGGAAGAAAGAAGAAGGCAAUGAGCCUUGCUAUUUGCCUGGGCAGAAACAUGAUAGACCCAAUGAAAGAGACCUAUUAAGGAUUUUCUUCGAGACGCUAUACCAGCAGCUACCCGACUGUGAAUUGGCCUCGAAAUGGAUGAUGGAAUGGGGAUUGCUUCCAUAAGAGGAGGCCAUGAAUGUCUAUGAGAGGGAUUUUAAGAGAGCAACGAGUGUUUCAAGAAGAAAAACAGACAAGGGAUCUUCAACCGCAAUCAAGAAAAUGAAGGAGAAAAAGGUCAGCAACAGUUCUGAGGAUGACUUCAUCUUAUCUGAGAAAAAGAAGAAGAUGAAGCAGAAGCAGCAGCAGCAGCAGCAGAAAGUUUCUUCCAGUUAAUUCAAUCAUUUGACAGCCUGUUUCUGUUCAUGGAUCUUUUACUUUGUCUACACCAAACUUGUAUAGAUUAGCUCUAUCUUUUAGACACCGAGAAUUUUUCAGGGAUUUAGGGUCAUUGACAGCUCGAAACGCGUGUGAUUUCGGAUUCCAUUGGUUAAAAAUUUCACAAAACAUCCUGGAACUUUGAGGGGGGCUUUUCGCAAACCCACCCAGAUUUUAUAAAUUAGAAAAAAAUUGCUGAUGAACUUGUUUCACGAAAAUACCGUGCUGGACAACUGUUAGUUUAAGAUGUCAUGUGCUUUGCGUGUGAUAUGUUUUGGACAUGUCCUGGAGAAAGUUGACUUUUGGAAAAGUGGAAGAAUGGAUUUCGAGGCAAUCAAUGAAGAAUUUAGAGGCUUUUGGAGAGAUUGAGAAGAUGGUGAGAAUGUGAAAAUUAUGGAAGCUUGUUCAAGAAGAGAGUGAUGGGGUAGUUUAGACCUUUUAUCUUUCAUAAUUGUCGUUUGUGACAAUUUACAUUAGUUCAGAGGGAUAUGUAUAAUUGUUGAAGUUCAUGAAAUCGAAUUUUGUAAAGUUUA